GUGUCAGAAGGGAGGCCAAAGUUAGGAGCGCAAAAGUUGGUGGCGGUGACAACAAUGGAGGUUCCUGGAAUGCAAUACCGCAGCUCCUCCACACAUCGCACCUCGAAGCAGCCACCACAAGUUGCCCCACUAUCGAACAGUGCCGGGCUCAGCCCCACCGUGGCCAGCCCAUAACCUUCCUUCCCUAAAUCCCCGUACCCACAUGCUCCUCCGACAGUGUCCCGGGGAUCAGAGGCGGCGUAGUAGGUGGCAUGAGCAGGCCGCCACUCCGUCAGCGCCGCCGAGGUAGAGGCAGAGCUGGCCGACUGGUGGGCGGCGGCGACGGUAGCUGAUACGGCCAGUAGCAGGAAGAGAAACGGGAAGCUGGGAUCCA
rnacentral:misc_RNA from 1 species